rnacentral:rRNA from 1 species
GUCCACGCCGUAAACGAUGUCAACUUGGAGUUUGUGUCUUAGAACGUGGGCUCCGAAGCUAACGCGAUAAGUUGACCGCCUGGGGGAGUACGGCCGCAAGGUUAAAACUCAAAUGAAUUGACGGGGGCCCGCACAAGCGGUGGAGCAUGUGGUUUAAUUCGAUGCAACGCGAAGAACCUUACCUGGCCUUGACAUGCUGAGAAUUCUGUAGAGAUACGGAAGUGCCUUCGGGAACUCAGACACAGGUGCUGCAUGGCUGUCGU